rnacentral:rRNA from 1 species
UACGAAGGGGGCUAGCGUUGUUCGGAUUUACUGGGCGUAAAGCGCGUGUAGGCGGGUCGUUAAGUUGGGGGUGACAUCCCGGAGCUCAACUCCGGAACUGCCUCCAAAACUGGCGACCUGGAGCAGAGGAGAGGCGAGUGGAAUUCCGAGUGUAGAGGUGAAAUUCGUAGAUAUUCGGAGGAACACCAGUGGCGAAGGCGACUCGCUGGACUCUUGCUGACGCUGAGACGCGAAAGCGUGGGGAGCAAACAGG